UUGCUCCUACGGGGCGCAGCAGUGGGGGAUAUUGCACAAUGGGGGGAACCCUGAUGCAGCGACGCCGCGUGGGUGAAGGAGUAUUUCGGUAUGUAAAGCCCUAUCGGCAGGGAAGAAGCAAGACGGUACCUGACUAAGAAGCCCCGGCUAACUACGUGCCAGCAGCCGCGGUAAUACGUAGGGGGCGAGCGUUAUCCGGAUUCACUGGGUGUAAAGGGAGCGUAGACGGCCAUGCCAGCCAGAGGUGAAAGCCCGGGGCCCAACCCCGGGACUGCCCUUGGAACUGUGCGGCUAGAGUGCGGGCG
rnacentral:rRNA from 1 species